AUUGAACGCUGGCGGCAUGCCUUACACAUGCAAGUCGAACGGCAGCGGGGACUUCGGUCCGCCGGCGAGUGGCGAACGGGUGAGUAAAGUAUCGGAACGUACCUUUCAGUGGGGGAUAACGUAGCGAAAGUUACGCUAAUACCGCAUAUUCUGUGAGCAGGAAAGCAGGGGAUCGCAAGACCUUGCGCUGAUUGAGCGGCCGAUAUCAGAUUAGCUAGUUGGUGGGGUAAAGGCCUACCAAGGCGACGAUCUGUAGCGGGUCUGAGAGGAUGAUCCGCCACACUGGAACUGAGACACGGUCCAGACUCCUACGGGAGGCAGCAGUGGGGAAUUUUGGACAAUGGGGGCAACCCUGAUCCAGCCAUGCCGCGUGAGUGAAGAAGGCCUUCGGGUUGUAAAGCUCUUUCGGCCGGGAAGAAAUCGCAUAGGUUAAUACCCUGUGUGGAUGACGGUACCGGAAUAAGAAGCACCGGCUAACUACGUGCCAGCAGCCGCGGUAAUACGUAGGGUGCGAGCGUUAAUCGGAAUUACUGGGCGUAAAGCGUGCGCAGGCGGUUUCGUAAGACAGAGGUGAAAUCCCCGGGCUCAACCUGGGAACUGCCUUUGUGACUGCGAAGCUAGAGUACGGCAGAGGGGGGUGGAAUUCCACGU
rnacentral:rRNA from 1 species